rnacentral:tRNA from 1 species
GAGGUUAACAGCUCAGUGGCAGAGCACUUACCUAACAUGUAUGACACCCUGGGUUCCAUUCCCAGCAACUUAA